AAUUGAGAGAAACACACUCACACACAUUUUCACAGCCUGCUCUUCAGACUGACAGCAGCAAACGGAGUUGAGAGGCAGCACGGUGGAGCAAGCCGGGAAAUAAAGAAGAUUUGAGACAAGUGAAGCAUCCACAGAGAAGAGGAGACUACAGGGUUUUUCUCUUGUAUCAUUCUGGGAGCCAAAAAAAGAUUCUCCCCUGUUCUCUUCUAGAGCUGAACUUGCUCUGCUGCUAAGAGGACCUGCACCCUGCUAUGGCAGCUCCGGUGGGACUUGGGAACACCGUCUCCCUCUCAUCUUACUCCUCUCUUUGUUGGACUACUCUCCUCUGGGCUCUCUUGACCCUUUCAAGCCAAGUGUGGGGAUUUAACCUGGAUACUACACACACACUUCAUAAGUUGGGAGACCAUGGCACCUUUUUUGGCUUCUCUCUAGCGCUUCACCAGCAGCUUACCCCAGAGUCUCAAAGCUGGAUCCUCGUGGGGGCACCGCAGGCAGCAGGGCAGGGCCUUAUGAGGGGGACUCGGCCAGGAGCUUUGUUCAGAUGUCCAAUCACACCUGAGGAGUACGACUGUGAGAGGGUGGAUAUCGACGGAGAAGUGAAUCUGGAAAGAGAGAGCAAAGACAACCAGUGGCUCGGAGUUACGGUCAAGAGUCAAGGGAUUGGAGGGAAGGUGGUGACCUGCGCUCACCUGUAUGAGCUCAGGCAACGUGUUGGUCAAUCUUCAGAGACCCGUGACCCCAUUGGACGCUGCUACGUUCUGAGCGAGGAUCUGACGGAGCGAGACGACCUGGAUGGAGGGGAGUGGAAGUUCUGUGAGGGUCGGCCGCAGGGACACGAGCAGUUUGGCUUCUGUCAGCAGGGCAUGUCUGUCAGUUUCACCCCAGACAACGACUUCAUUCUGUUUGGGGCUCCGGGCACUUACAACUGGAAAGGUGAGAUGCGUGUCCAGCUCCUAAACCAGACUCUGCUUGACCUCGGUUUUUAUGACGACGGGCCAUACGAAGUGGCAGAUCAGAAACAACUUAAUGCCCAGCUCAUCCCUCUGCCUUACCACAGUUACCUGGGGUUUUCUGUGGACUCUGCCAUGGGGAUAAUAAGCCUCAGGGACCUGACCUUUGUGGCAGGUGCACCUCGGGCCAAUCACACAGGGGCAGUGGUGCUGCUAAAAAAAGACAACGUGUACCGGCUGGUGCCACAGCACAUCAUCUGGGGAGAGGAGCUGGCAUCUUCAUUUGGGUACUCUGUUGCUACAACGGAUCUGAACCGGGACGGUUGGACCGACCUGAUUGUUGGAGCUCCUAAUUUCUUUGACCGUAAGGCAGAGAUUGGUGGGGCUGUGUACGUGUACCUGAACCCCUUCGGUCACUGGGACGAUCAUUCUCGACCCAUCCGUCUCAAUGGGACCUACGACUCCAUGUUUGGAAUGGUAGUCAGCAACAUCGGUGAUCUGGACCAGGACGGGUACGGAGAUAUUGCUGUGGGGGCACCGUUUGAUGGCGAUGGCAAAGUUUUCAUCUACAGAGGCUCAGAUGCUGGAAUUGAAACCAAGCCAGCUCAGGUGCUGGAUGGUCGUGACUUUGAUGUGAGACGAUUUGGAUACUCCAUCUCAGGCGGAUUGGAUAUUGACAUUAACCAUUACCCAGAUAUUGCUGUGGGCUCUCUUAAUGACUCAGUGGUUCUGUUCAGGUCUCGCCCAGUCAUCCAUGUGCUCAGAGAAGUAUCUAUCAACCCUCAGUACAUUGAUCUGGAGCAGCAUAACUGCAAGGGCAGAGAGGGAGCCUGCGUGGAGGUCAAGGCCUGCUUCACCUUCACAGCCCACCCAGAACACUACUCUCCACACAUUACCCUGGUAGUACACUUUGAAGCUGACACUGAGCGCAGGAAGUUGGGCCUCCCACACCGUGUUAACUUCCUAGGACGCAGUUCCCUGGAGCCGGAGUAUACUCAGACAGAAGAGGUGGAGCUCCAUCGGCAGCGUCACCCUGUGUGCACCACGGCUACCUUCCAGCUCCAUGAUAACAUCCUUGAUAAACUGCGCCCCAUCUCAUUGGCGAUAACCCACACGAUCAAGCCUGUGCCACCACGCAGACACUCUGGUGCCAAGAGGCUGGAGAAGCUGGCGCCUGUGCUGAGUCUUUCUCCGUCCAAUAUGCUGCACUCUGAGGUGAACUUCCUGCGAGAAGGAUGCGGCAGCGACAAGAUCUGCCAGAGCAACCUGAAGCUGAGCUACCAGUUUGGAACAAGACCCCUGACCUCCGACCUCUUCACCCCACUGCCAAAAGAUGACGAUGAAGUGCAGGUGUUUUCUCUGUCAGACCAGCGGCUGGUGGUGCUGGAGAUCACUGUCACCAACAUGCCCUCUGACCCUCAGAACCCCGAGGAGGACGGAGACGACGCCCAUGCUGCUCAGCUGCUCAUCACCCUUCCCAACUCUCUGUCUUAUGCCGGCUCCAGGAUCCCACCACAGAUAAGAUGCCAGGCAAACCAGAAUGGCUCCCAAGUUGAAUGUGACCUGGGAAACCCUGUGAAACGAGACACUAAGCUUAAAUUCUCCAUCAACUUGAGCACAUCGAACAUCACAAUUGAGACCACUGAGUUGACAGCAGAUCUCUCUUUGACAACUAUCAGUGAGCAGCCCGAUCUGGAACCAGUAACAGCUUUUGCUAGAGUUGUGAUAGAGCUCCCUCUGUCUGUCAGUGGGCUUGCUCGUCCUCACCAGCUGUUCUUCAGCGGGACAGUGAGGGGAGAGAGUGCCAUGGCCAGUCUGGAGGACAUCGGCAGCACUGUGGACUUUGAGUUUGUGGUGGCUAAUACCGGACCAGCUCUGCAGACGCUUGGUUCAGCCUUCCUCAACAUCAUGUGGCCUUACGAGCUAGCCAAUGAAAAAUGGCUCCUGUAUCCGGCAAGCUUGAUGUUUGAGGGUCACCCAGAAACACAGUGCACCUCAACAGGGGCAUUUAAUCCUCUGAAACUAGCCAGCUCCUUACCUACAAGACUCCAACAGAUUGUUAAUAUAAGGGCUGGGCGAACGCGCCGCUCCCACCCAGAGGAGGAAGGUCCAAUGAUGACCAAAGGCAGCGUGAGACGAACCACACCAGCUGUGGCAGCUUCAGAGAGACGCAAGUCGCUCAAACUUGACUGUCUCUUGGGGUCCGCUCGCUGUGUCCUGUUGCAGUGUCCCCUCCACAGCUUCUCUGGUCAGGCUGUCCUCAAGGUCCACGCCAGACUGUGGAACAGCAGCUUUAUAGAGGAUUUUUCAGCGGUCAGUGCUUUGGAGCUGCUGGUCAGAGCCAACAUCACUGUGAAGUCCAGCAUCAAACACCUGGUCCUCAAGGACGCUGCUGCACAGGUUCCAGUAAUGAUUUACCCUGAGCCGGGUCUUGCUGAUCAGUACUGGAUCCCCUGGUGGAUCAUACUCAUAGCUGUCCUGGCAGGCAUCCUGCUGCUGACUCUGUUAGUCUGCAUACUGUGGAAGUGUGGCUUCUUCAAGCGCAAUGAGCGGCGCCAGCACUAUGACACCGAGUACUACCGCGCCCAUUUGGGCGUCCAACCCUCGGAGGCGGAGAAACAGGCAUCAGAACUAUAAUAUUAAGAAAUAUUUCAUUCUGGCCUGCUCUCCCCUCCUCCUCUUCCUCCAUGCGUGUGGCUUCUUCCAGCGGGCCCACUACAAAGACAAGUUGCCUCAGUACCACGCGGUGAAGAUUCCUCGCGAGGACCGGCCACAGUUCCAGACUGAGAAGUCGGGAGUUGUCCAUAAAAAGGAAUGGGCCACGCACUGGAGCGACCGGACCUCAUAACUCGCUUUGAAGCACUGACUGACUGAAAUAUUUCAAAUCACAUGUGUGGCACUCAUUCUGUCUUUGCAUUGGAACUAACAAACUAAAAACAUGAGGAAUAUGAGAACUGAGAUUGUGCACUCUGUACUGUGUCAGUACUUGCAUACUUAUGGCCUGUUACACUGUGACUGGAUCUAUACUCUCUGUAGCUCACUGAUGGCUGGCCUUGCAUAGUUUAAUUACUCUGUGCAUUUAUAUCAGUGUGUUACAGUUAAUACUGCAGGCCAACAACAGUAUCAGAACCAGUCCAGCAGCUCAAAAUACUUAACCUUCAGAAGUAAGCUCACAUGGACUUCACUGUUUUCAUGAGGACAGAAAAUCACAACUCGAGGACAUGCAUGAAUGCACAAACAUACAGUAGGCUAUAAUCUUAGAUGCGCGCGCACACGCACACGCACACGCACACACACACACACACACACACACACACACACACACACACACACACACACACACACACUAUACAUUGUCGAUGAAGACACUGCCGUGACGAAGACUACUUUUUGCCAUAACUACUGUAAGACUGACAAUUACUAUAGGCAAUGAAAAAAUGCUUCUUUUUUAUAUAAAUGACUUUUGAGGAUUUUGUUUAGCACUGGUGGACAUUGUAAACAUGUCAGUAUGUAAGAUAUCAGUGAAGUUUUAUGUUGCAGAAUGUGUCAAGGAAAAGAAAGGCCUUUUUACGUCAAUUUUUUUUUUUUUAUGUCAGUCAAAUUUACUGCUCAUCAAUAGGAUACUGCCUGAGUGAACUUGAAAAAGAACAAUACAACCUAUAACAGCCACGCCCAUAGCACUGCAGCCGCAUGGAAAUCAAAUAUGUAAUGAAGCAGAGCAAUAUUUAAAAUAUGGUCUGCACAUUUACAGUGUAAGCAUUUCAAUUAAUACACCAGUUUAUAAAAUGAUUGUGUGUGAAAACGUGGUCUCAAAUGACGCCCUAUAAUGUAUGAGUGAAUGAGAUACUUUAUUAUCAUAACGUUUUCAACAACUUCAUUCAUUUUUUGACUGAAAUGUAAAAACAUUUCACCAGAAGGCACCAUUACCUUUGUAUAAAUAGUUAUAAAACGUCCUUGUUGGAUUAUAUUAA